CCUACGGGAGGCAGCAGUGAGGAAUAUUGGUCAAUGGACGCGAGUCUGACCCAUCAACGUAGCGUGAAGGAUGACUGCCCUCUGGGUUGUAAACUUCUUUUAUAUGGGAAUAAAAUGUUCCGCGUGUGGGAUUUUGUGUGUACCAUAUGAAUAAGGAUCGGCUAACUCCGUGCCAGAAGCCGCGGUAAUACGGAGUAUCCGAGCGUUAUCCGGAUUUAUUGGGUUUAAAGGGAGCGUAGGUGGAUGGUUAAGUCAGUUGUGAAAGUUUGCGGCUCAACCGUAAAAUUGCAGUUGAAACUGGCAGUCUUGAGUACAGGAGAGGUGGGCGGAAUUCGUGGUGUAGCGGUGAAAUGCUUAGAUAUCACGAAGAACUCCGAUUGCGAAGGCAGUUCACUGGACUGCAACUGACACUGAGGCUCGAAAGUGUGGGUAUCAAACAGGAUUAGAUACCCGAGUAGUC
rnacentral:rRNA from 1 species